ACCAAUUCAGCGCAUCCAUGAUUCGUCCAACUGGUCUCGCGUUAGGAUGAAAUUUUCCGCUUUCUAUUGUAUGUUUGUCUGUAGCAAUGUCUGCUCGUAUUUUUGUCGACUUUUCAACUUGGCGAUGGCUAUGGGAUGGCUAUAUGGUGGUGCCAGUGCCGGUGCCAGAGCCGGUGACGGUGACGGUGACGCGGCAACGGCAACGGUUGGUGGUGGCGGUGCGGUGUGCAUUUGAAAUAUGGUCGCUUGUGCCACAAAUAAAUAACGCUUUCAAAUCGCUCGCAAGUGGAUACAGCUACAUUUCAGUGUGCCACUGUAUCUGCAGCUGUAUCUGUUAGCCAUUCUAUUUGUAUGUGUGUGUGAGUGUGUGCCUGAUUGUUGUUCUGGCCAGAAGCAAAGCAGCGUGAAGAGGAGGAGGGCGGGAUGCUGCUAGUUAAGCACUCACCCACACAUAAACAGGAAUUAAUAUGAAACGCUCUCGACGGCAGAAAUAAGUGAGCAACAAAAUGUAGAUGACUAAACACAG
rnacentral:lncRNA from 1 species